AUUGAGACCUACCUUUCUGAUGGGAGGCUAGAUGCGUUUAGGUGCAGCAGGUCCUGGCUUGUGGCUUGGAAGACCACCUUAGGUUGAAAACUGAUUUUCUCCUGUCAUCGACCUUCUUGACUCAUAUCUUCGGCAGCAUUUCGACCCUGAUCUUCCAGAAAAAGAGCCGAAAGAAUCGUUUCGGUUUCUCAAUGUGACGUGGAUGUGAACUGGCUGUGAGGAGGGUCUUUGGAAUCUUGCCAAAAUUCUUCUGCAAAGUGACUAGAAAAAUAUCAAAGUACGACUUGUUCGUAAAUGCAGGAGAUGCCUUCUUCAUGACAGGAAGAACCCUAAGUAAAUGGUGAGAAACAUU